rnacentral:rRNA from 1 species
AGAACGCUGAAGGAGGAGCUUGCUUCUCUGGAUGAGUUGCGAACGGGUGAGUAACGCGUAGGUAACCUGCCUGGUAGCGGGGGAUAACUAUUGGAAACGAUAGCUAAUACCGCAUAAUAGUAGAUGUUGCAUGACAUUUGCUUAAAAGGUGCAAUUGCAUCACUACCAGAUGGACCUGCGUUGUAUUAGCUAGUUGGUGAGGUAACGGCUCACCAAGGCGACGAUACAUAGCCGACCUGAGAGGGUGAUCGGCCACACUGGGACUGAGACACGGCCCAAACUCCUACGGGAGGCAGCAGUAGGGAAUCUUCCACAAUGGACGCAAGUCUGAUGGAGCAACGCCGCGUGAGUGAAGAAGGGUUUCGGCUCGUAAAGCUCUGUUGGUAGUGAAGAAAGAUAGAGGUAGUAACUGGCCUUUAUUUGACGGUAAUUACUUAGAAAGUCACGGCUAACUACGUGCCAGCAGCCGCGGUAAUACGUAGGUGGCAAGCGUUGUCCGGAUUUAUUGGGCGUAAAGCGAGUGCAGGCGGUUCAAUAAGUCUGAUGUGAAAGCCUUCGGCUCAACCGGAGAAUUGCAUCAGAAACUGUUGAACUUGAGUGCAGAAGAGGAGAGUGGAACUCCAUGUGUAGCGGUGGAAUGCGUAGAUAUAUGGAAGAACACCAGUGGCGAAGGCGGCUCUCUGGUCUGCAACUGACGCUGAGGCUCGAAAGCAUGGGUAGCGAACAGG